CUUACACUCCAGAAUAUUCUCUCUGGUGAGCUCUGCACUGCGGUGCUCUGUGCGUGCACAAAGUCGGACGGCUCACACUGGAGGACAAACACACACUUGGGAUGCCCAGCUCGGUGCACCUACAAAUCGCAGUGACACAGAGAUGUCCUGGAUGCCUUCUGAGAUCACAUCAUCCCGGGGUCUGUCAGCUCCAGCACACAUCCCCCGAGCUUCGCUGCUGCUGCUGGCUGCUCUGUUGCUGGUUGACAGAUUGCCAAGCAGGGCUGCAUGAUGCAAACUUCUCCUAAAGAUACCACUCUGACCUACAGAAUCGUCCUGGUUGGAAAAGACCUUCAAGAUCACCAAGUCCAACCGCCAACCAACUGUGGGUAUGCAUGGAGUCUACUCUUUGAAGGAAGCUCCCUCUCCAGAAACAAGCAUUCCCUGUGUAAUCUCGCUGCUCGCAUGUCUCCAGGAUCGCUUCCAAUUACUCAAACGAGCAACAUGCACUCUGAAGAAGCUAAUGGUGUAUUUACGCUGUAACACAAGCUAGUAAAUAUUUCCCAUUUAUUAAUUGUGAUUUACAUAACAGCGCACAAUGGCAGCUGUUAAGUAAAUAAAAUAAUUUUCUCAAGAUCUCUAA